rnacentral:rRNA from 1 species
GAUGAACGCUAGCGGCAGGCUUAAUACAUGCAAGUCGAGGGGCGAGCAGGGGUGGUAGCAAUACACUCGCUGGCGACCGGCAAACGGGUAGGCGGAACACGUACGCAAUCUACCCAAAACCUAGGUGAAUAGCCCUCCCGAAAGGAGGAUUAAUACACCGUAACGUAAGAGAGUGGCAUCACUUUGUUACUAUAGCUCCGGCGGUUUGGUAUGAGCGUGCGCCUGAUUAGGUAGUUGGCGGGUAC